rnacentral:rRNA from 1 species
UUUUUAAAUUUAAAAUAAUUAUUAAAAUUUUUAAUUUUCUUUUAACAUUUUAUUUAAUUUAAAUAAAAAAAUUUUUCUAAACUGAAAAGGAUAAUAAUUUUAUUUUAAAAGUAAAUUUUUGUACCUUUAGCAUAAGGGAUUUUUAAAAAAAAAUAAAGCUUUAUUUUUUUCGAAAUCAACUGAUCUAUUUUAUUUUCAAAAAAUAUAUUGCAAUAUAUUAAAAAAAAAAUAAAAUAGAAGUGAAAUUCUUAUCAAAGUUGAAGAUAUCUAAUUUUUUAUAAAAAAUUAAAAGUUUUCUUAUAAUUAAUAUUAUUUCAUAAAAUUAUAAGUAAAUACAUAUGGGAUAAGCUUUAUGUAUUAAUUAUAUAAAUUAAAUAUUUAUUUAAAUGAGAAAUAAAAUUUUUCUUAUAUUGUUAUAAAUAAUUAAUAUUUAUUUAUGUUUAAUAAAAUAAUAUUUUUAAAAAUUAUUUCAACAUUUUCAUAAUCUUAAAAUGAAAGUAUUAGUAAAAAGAUUUUUCAAUAAAUAAAUAAUAAUUUAUUUAUUUAUUUUUCUAGUUAAAUGAAAUUUAAGAACUCGGCAUAAACUUUUUUUGACUGUUUAUUAAAAACAAUGUAUUUAGAAUUUAUUAAAUAUAAAUCCUGCUCAAUGAAUAUUUAAAUUGCUGUAGUAUUUUGACUAUACAAAGGUAUUGUAAUAAGACUUUAAUUGAGUGCUAAAAGAAUGGACUUUCAAAAAAAUUCUUUCUUAAUUUUAAAAGUUAAAGUUAUUUUUAUAUGUGAAGAAACAAUAAUAAAAAUUUAGGACAAGAAGACCCUAUGAAUUUUUAUAAUUUGUUCAUAAUUAAUUAUGAACAAAUUAUUUAAUUGGGGCGAUUAAUUAAUAUUUUAAACUUUUUAAAAAAAAUGUGAUCCAUUAAUAAUGAUUUUAUGAAAAAAAUACUCUAGGGAUAACAGCGUAAUAAUUUUAGAUAGAUCUUAUAGAAAAAAUAGUUUGCGACCUCGAUGUUGGAUUAGGAUUCUUAUUUAAUGAAGAAGUUAAAUAAAGAAGUUUGUUCAACUUUUAAAAUCCUACAUGAUCUGAGUUUAGACCGAUGUGAAUCAGGUUGGUUUCUAUCUUAAUUUUAAUAAAUUAUUUUAAUUAGUACGAAAGGAAUUUUAAAAUAAAAUUAUUUUAUUAAGUAUAACAGUUUUUGCAUCAAUUUUUGGAAUU